GUGCUUGCUUAGGCAGCACAUAUCCUAAAAUUGGAAUGAUAGAGUAGAAUAGAAUGCCCCCCCUAUACAAGGAUGAUACACAAAUUCAUGAAGUGUUCCAUAUUUUU